rnacentral:misc_RNA from 1 species
AAUGUACUCUUUAUGAGGCUUUGCGCUGCCCUUGUGGCAGCUAGCCGAAGGUUUCGCAAGAAGCCGAUGUCAAUUUGAAUCCUUUUUAAAAUACGACUGAUCAAAACUGCAGAUAGAAAUAUCUGCAUGCAAUUGAAAUACAACUUUCAACAGUGGAUGUCUAGGCUCGCACACCGAUGAAGAACGCUGCGAACUGCGAUACGUAAUGCGAAUUGCAGAAUUCAGUGAGUCAUCAAAAUUUUGAACGCAUAUUGCACUUCCGGGUUAGUCCUGGGAGUAUGUUUGUAUCAGUGUCCGUGAACACAAACUUGUUUCAUUUCUUGAUUGGGAUGGAGCAGACUGUGAAGGUCUUGUAAUUACAAGUCCUUUUAAACGACGGUACCUAUGCGUCCUAGUGAGAUGUAUUAUUUAAAGGUAUGCCUGCGCUCCUUUCGAAAGUCUUGUGUGGCGGCACACAGCACUCAAAGAGAGAGCAAAUCGCGGUAGUUUUGCUUGUACUUCGGUACGAGUGGACACAUAUUGCUUUUUGUGAUUUCUGCGAGUCUGUUGUCAAAGUACAAGGCACGUAAGGAGAGUUGGUAUGCUGGUGCAUUUCUUGGCGUAUGGAGGCAAAUUGGGAAUUCAAUCCA